CGCUAUCACUCCUACGGGGAGGCAGCAGUGGGGGAAUAUUGCACAAUGGGGGGAAAACCCUGAUGCAGCCAUGCCGCGUGUGUGAAGAAGGCCUUCGGGUUGUAAAGCACUUUCAGUAGGGAGGAAGGUAGUGUAGUUAACACCUGCAUUAUUUGACGUUACCUACAGAAGAAGCACCGGCUAACUCCGUGCCAGCAGCCGCGGUAAUACGGAGGGUGCGAGCGUUAAUCGGAAUUACUGGGCGUAAAGCGCAUGCAGGCGGCCUGUUAAGUCAGAUGUGAAAGCCCGGGGCUUAACCUCGGAAUUGCAUUUGAAACUGGCAGGCUAGAGUCUUGUAGAGGGGGUAGAAUUUCAGGUGUAGCGGUGAAAAUGCGUAGAGAUCUGAAGGAAUACCAGUGGCGAAGGCGGCCCCCUGGACAAAGACUGACGCUCAGAUGCGAAAAGCGUGGGGAGCAAACAGGAUUAGAUACCCUGGUAG
rnacentral:rRNA from 1 species